rnacentral:tRNA from 1 species
GCCUUAGUAGUAUAAAAAUUACAUUGGCUUUGUAAGCCAAAAAUGAAGAACACCUUCCUAAGGCA